CUUUAUUGGAGAGUUUGAUCCUGGCUCAGGACGAACGCUGGCGGCAUGCCUAAUACAUGCAAGUCGAGCGGACUUGAAGAGAAGCUUGCUUCUCUGAUGGUUAGCGGCGGACGGGUGAGUAACACGUAGGCAACCUGCCCUCAAGCUUGGGACAACUACCGGAAACGGUAGCUAAUACCGAAUACUUGCUUCCUUCGCCUGAAGGGAGCUGGAAAGACGGAGCAAUCUGUCACUUGAGGAUGGGCCUGCGGCGCAUUAGCUAGUUGGUGAGGUAACGGCUCACCAA
rnacentral:rRNA from 1 species